rnacentral:rRNA from 1 species
GAAGUGUGGACGCCAGUCUGCAUGGAGCCGACCUUGAAAUACCACCCUUUAAUGUUUGAUGUUCUAACGUGGACCCGUGAUCCGGGUUGCGGACAGUGUCUGGUGGGUAGUUUGACUGGGGCGGUCUCCUCCUAAAGAGUAACGGAGGAGCACGAAGGUUGGCUAAUCCUGGUCGGACAUCAGGAGGUUAGUGCAAUGGCAUAAGCCAGCUUGACUGCGAGCGUGACGGCGCGAGCAGGUGCGAAAGCAGGUCAUAGUGAUCCGGUGGUUCUGAAUGGAAGGGCCAUCGCUCAACGGAUAAAAGGUACUCCGGGGAUAACAGGCUGAUACCGCCCAAGAGUUCAUAUCGACGGCGGUGUUUGGCACCUCGAUGUCGGCUCAUCACAUCCUGGGGCUGAAGUAGGUCCCAAGGGUAUGGCUGUUCGCCAUUUAAAGUGGUACGCGAGCUGGGUUUAGAACGUCGUGAGACAGUUCGGUCCCUAUCUGCCGUGGGCGCUGGAGAACUGAGGGGGGCUGCUCCUAGUACGAGAGGACCGGAGUGGACGCAUCACUGGUGUUCGGGUUGUCAUGCCAAUGGCACUGCCCGGUAGCUAAAUGCGGAAGAGAUAAGUGCUGAAAGCAUCUAAGCACGAAACUUGCCCCGAGAUGAGUUCUCCCUGACCCUUUAAGGGUCCUGAAGGAACGUUGAAGACGACGACGUUGAUAGGCCGGGUGUGUAAGCGCAGCGAUGCGUUGAGCUAACCGGUACUAAUGAACCGUGAGGCUUAACCUUACAACGCCGAAGCUGUU